rnacentral:rRNA from 1 species
CUACGGGACGCAGCAGUGGGGAAUAUUGCACAAUGGGCGAAAGCCUGAUGCAGCAACGCCGCGUGAGUGAUGAAGGCCUUCGGGUCGUAAAACUCUGUCCUCAAGGAAGAAUAAUGACGGUACUUGAGGAGGAAGCCCCGGCUAACUACGUGCCAGCAGCCGCGGUAAUACGUAGGGGGCAAGCGUUAUCCGGAAUCACUGGGCGUAAAGGGUGCGUAGGCGGUUUUACAAGUCAGGUGUGAAAGGCUAUGGCUCAACCAUAGUAAGCACUUGAAACUGUAUAACUUGAGUGCAGGAGAGGAAAGUGGAAUUCCUAGUGUAGCGGUGAAAUGCGUAGAUAUUAGGAGGAACACCAGUGGCGAAGGCGACUUUCUGGACUGUAACUGACGCUGAGGCACGAAAGCGUGGGGAGCGAACAGGAUUAGAUACCCGGGUAGUC